AAAGCACUUUUGUCCGGAAAGAAAACGCUGUGGUUAAUACCCGUGGCGGAUGACGGUACCGGAAGAAUAAGCACCGGCUAACUACGUGCCAGCAGCCGCGGUAAUACGUAGGGUGCAAGCGUUAAUCGGAAUUACUGGGCGUAAAGCGUGCGCAGGCGGUUCGCUAAGACAGAUGUGAAAUCCCCGGGCUUAACCUGGGAACUGCAUUUGUGACUGGCGGGCUAGAGUAUGGCAGAGGGGGGUAGAAUUCCACGUGUAGCAGUGAAAUGCGUAGAGAUGUGGAGGAAUACCGAUGGCGAAGGCAGCCCCCUGGGCCAAUACUGACGCUCAUGCACGAAAGCGUGGGGAGCAAACAGGAUUAGAUACCCUGGUAGUCCACGCCCUAAACGAUGUCAACUGGUUGUCGGGCCUUCAUUGGCUUGGUAACGUAGCUAACGCGUGAAGUUGACCGCCUGGGGAGUACGGUCGCAAGAUUAAAACUCAAAGGAAUUGACGG
rnacentral:rRNA from 1 species